rnacentral:tRNA from 1 species
CUCCCUGUGGCUCAGUUGGUAGAGCAUGGUGUUUGCAACGCCAGCAUAGUGUGUUCAACGCCAGGGUUGUGGGUUCGAUUCCCACGGGGGGCA